rnacentral:tRNA from 1 species
GCGCCCGUGGCUCAGCUGGAUAGAGCAUCGGUUUGCGGUACCGGAGGUCAGGGGUUCGAAUCCCUUCGGGCGCACCA